AUGAAGCUCUCCUACCUUCUCCUCGCCGCCCUUUUUGCCGCGGCGUACGCGUCGUCGGAGAGAGCGAUCGCGGUCGCGGGCGCCGGCGGCCGCGGCAGCCUGUUAUCGGACCCGGAGCAGCAGUGCGUGUACACGGUGUACGUGCGGACGGGCUCGAUCUGGAAGGGCGGGACGGACUCGGCGAUCGGCGUGACGCUGCUGGGCUCGGACGGCACGGGCGUCCGGAUCGCCGACCUGGAGCAAUGGGGCGGGAUGAUGGGCGCCGGCCACGACUACUACGAGCGCGGCAACCUCGACAUCUUCAGCGGCCGCGGGCCCUGCAUGGAGCGCGCGCCGUGCUGGGCGAACGUCACCUCCGACGGCGCCGGCGCGCACCACGGCUGGUACUGCAACUACGUCGAGGUCACGGCCACGGGGCCCCACAUGGGAUGCGCGCAGCAGCUCUUCACCGUCGAGCAGUGGCUCGCCACCGACGCCUCGCCCUACCGCCUCUACGCCGCCGUCGACAACUGCGGCGACAAGCAGGCCGCCAAGGGCCAGGAGGCCAGGGCCAGCACCGCUCUGUGA
rnacentral:rRNA from 1 species